rnacentral:rRNA from 1 species
CGGGUGAGUAACACGUGGAUAACCUACCUAUAAGACUGGGAUAACUUCGGGAAACCGGAGCUAAUACCGGAUAAUAUAUUGAACCGCAUGGUUCAAUAGUGAAAGACGGUUUUGCUGUCACUUAUAGAUGGAUCCGCGCCGCAUUAGCUAGUUGGUAAGGCAACGGCUUACCAAGGCAACGAUGCGUAGCCGACCUGAGAGGGUGAUCGGCCACACUGGAACUGAGACACGGUCCAG